rnacentral:rRNA from 1 species
GAGUUUGAUCGUGGCUCAGAUUGAACGCUGGCGGCAUGCCUUACACAUGCAAGUCGAACGGCAGCACGGGAGCUUGCUCCUGGUGGCGAGUGGCGAACGGGUGAGUAAUGCAUCGGAACGUAUCCUGGAGUGGGGGAUAACGUAGCGAAAGUUACGCUAAUACCGCAUAUUCUGUGAGCAGGAAGCGGGGGACCUUCGGGCCUCGCGCUCUUGGAGCGGCCGAUGUCGGAUUAGCUAGUUGGUGAGGUAAGGCUCACCAAGGCGACGAUCCGUAGCAGGUCUGAGAGGAUGAUCUG